UACAGAGGGUGCAAGCGUUAAUCGGAAUUACUGGGCGUAAAGCGUGCGUAGACGGUUAUUUAAGUCAGGUGUGAAAGCCCAGGGCUCAACCUUGGAAUUGCAUUUGAGACUGGAUAGCUAGGGUGCGGAAGAGGGAAGCGGAAUUUCCGGUGUAGCGGUGAAAUGCGUAGAUAUCGGAAGGAACACCAGUGGCGAAGGCGGCUUCCUGGUCCAGCACCGACGUUCAGGCACGAAAGCGUGGGGAGCAAACAGG
rnacentral:rRNA from 1 species